AAUAUUAAUUUAUUUAUGUACCAACUAAAAUAAUUUAUAUAUUUUUAUUUUGAUGGAAACAAUAAUAAAAGAUUACCACAGUAAAACACAGACAGAAGAAAAUCCUUUAGUUGUCAUCGAUUCAUAUUCUCCGAAAAUUGAAAGAUUCAAUGAAUCUAGUGAAGAAAUAGAAUACUUACAAACACUUAGUA